AAUAAAGUACCUUAAAAAGGAUCAUUUUGAUGGAAUGAAAUAUGUAAUUAAUUUACCUUUAUUU
rnacentral:tRNA from 1 species